rnacentral:ncRNA from 1 species
GCUUAUCAAGAAAGGAGGAGGGACUGGCCCUAUGAUACCUUGGCAACCGGCCUGACUGGGCUUGGUGCUAAUUCCAACCCUAAAUGGGGGAAGAUGAG